rnacentral:rRNA from 1 species
CCUACGGGAGGCAGCAGUAGGGAAUAUUGCUCAAUGGGGGAAACCCUGAAGCAGCAACGCCGCGUGGAGGCUGAAGGUUUUCGGAUUGUAAACUCCUUUUGUUAGAGAAGAUAAUGACGGUAUCUAACGAAUAAGCACCGGCUAACUCCGUGCCAGCAGCCGCGGUAAUACGGAGGGUGCAAGCGUUACUCGGAAUCACUGGGCGUAAAGAGCGCGUAGGCGGGAUAGCAAGUCAGAUGUGAAAUCCUAUGGCUUAACCAUAGAACUGCAUUUGAAACUGUUAUUCUAGAGUAUGGGAGAGGUAGGUGGAAUUCUUGGUGUAGGGGUAAAAUCCGGAGAGAUAAAGAGGAAUACUCAUUGCGAAGGCGACCUGCUAGAACAUAACUGACGCUGAUGCGCGAAAGCGUGGGGAGCAAACAGGAUUAGAGACCCGAGUAGUC